AUGUCCACCGACGCCGAACGUGCCGCCGCCGAGAAGGAGAAAGUUGAAGCCAACAAGAAGGCCGCCGAGGGUGCCGCUGCUGCUGUCACCGCCGUCACGGCUUCUGCAUGGCCUACUGGAGGGUAUAACGCGUUUAUCCCUCUCCUGAUUAUUACCGUAUUAGCAGUACUAACAUCAUGUGUAGAUUUGUCUACUGUUUGCGUAGUACGUGCUUGUUUAGAUCAGUAUCAGUAUGUCGUUCAUCAUGUCAAUGCCAUGCUAGUCAUAUACUUAUGGAUUAAAUUAGUCGAAAAAUUGCCUAUUUACUCAGCAGUCCAUAGUAACAAGGCAAACAACUAUAAAUAUAUUUCCUUUUCUUUUUUGCCUUUUGAAAUGUGA
rnacentral:rRNA from 1 species